CAGAGGGGGCAAGCGUUAUUCGGAAUUAUUGGGCGUAAAGGGCGCGUAGGCGGCUUUGCAAGUGACGGGUGAAAUCCCUCGGCUUAACCGAGGAACUGCCUGUCAGACUGCAUGGCUUGAGACCGGGAGAGGUGAGUGGAAUUCCCAGUGUAGCGGUGAAAUGCGUAGAUAUUGGGAGGAACACCAGUGGCGAAGGCGGCUCACUGGACCGGUACUGACGCUGAUGCGCGAAAGCGUGGGGAGCAAACAGGAUUAGAUACCCUGGUAGUCCACGCCGUAAACGAUGAGUGCUUGGUGUAGCGGGUAUCGACCCCUGCUGUGCCGAAGUCAACACAUUAAGCACUCCGCCUGGGGGAGUACGGUCGCAAGACUG
rnacentral:rRNA from 1 species